rnacentral:rRNA from 1 species
AAUCAACGCUGGCGGCGUGCCUAACACAUGCAAGUCGAACGCGAAAGCCCCGCAAGGGGUAAGUAGAGUGGCAAACGGGUGAGUAACACGUGGGUGACCUGCCUUCGAGUGGGGGAUAACGUCCCGAAAGGGACGCUAAUACCGCAUGACAUCCUGCUUUUGAAAAAGCGGAGAUCAAAGCUGGGGAUCGCAAGACCUAGCGCUUGAAGAGGGGCCCGCGCCUGAUUAGCUAGUUGGUGAGGUAACGGCUCACCAAGGCGACGAUCAGUAUCCGGCCUGAGAGGGCGGACGGGCACACUGGGACUGGGACACGGCCCAGACUCCUACGGGAGGCAGCAGUGGGGAAUUGUUCGCAAUGGGCGCAAGCCUGACGACGCAACGCCGCGUGGAGGACGAAGAUCUUCGGGUCGUAAACUCCUGUCGAGCGGGACGAACGCUUCGCGGAUGAAUAAGCCGCGGAAUUGACGGUACCGCUAAAGGAAGCCCCGGCUAACUCCGUG